rnacentral:tRNA from 1 species
GGAGGUAGAGCUCAGUGGUAGAGCGCAUGUGUAGCAUGCACAAGGUCCUGGGUUCAGUCCCCAGUACCUCCA